UAUUGAACGCAUAUUGCGGCCACGGGUCCGUCCUGUGGCCACGCCCGUCUGAGGGUCGGCAACGUUCUACCCAUCGCUGGGAGGCUCUUGCCCAGCGCCUUGAGCUUUCGUAGCAACACAACGGUUGUGGUUGUGUUGCUCCGUGGCUUCAAAUGCAGACUUGGUUGGGUCUGGCUGCGGCCAGCCCCAACUGCUUUCUAGCUGCAAAGUGCUUUUAGUGAGUGUUGGAGGAGGAAAGUGAAGUGGUCCUCUGGCGAGCUUAAAAGCACAUGGCUUGGAUUCUAUUCUCAUGACUUUUGCUCGCGCCUCCUCCUCCUCCUCCUCCUGCUCCUCCGCAGCAUUAUUCCUCCGACCUCAGAUCGGACGAGAUUACCCGCUGAAUUUAAGCAUAUCAC
rnacentral:rRNA from 1 species